UACGUAGGUGGCAAGCGUUGUCCGGAAUUAUUGGGCGUAAAGCGCGCGCAGGCGGCUUCUUAAGUCUGAUGUGAAAUCUCGGGGCUCAACCCCGAGCGGCCAUUGGAAACUGGGAAGCUUGAGUACAGAAGAGGAGAGUGGAAUUCCACGUGUAGCGGUGAAAUGCGUAGAUAUGUGGAGGAACACCACGUGGCGAAGGCGACGUCUCUGGUCUGUAACUGACGCUGAGGCGCGAAGACGUGGGGAGCAAACAGG
rnacentral:rRNA from 1 species